GGCUCUAUAGCUCAGUGGUUAGAGCAGUUAGAGGUUAGAGGUUAGAGGUCGUGAGUUCAAUUCUCACUAGGGCCU
rnacentral:tRNA from 1 species